AUACGUAGGGUGCGAGCGUUAAUCGGAAUUACUGGGCGUAAAGCGUGCGCAGGCGGUUUUGUAAGACAGUGGUGAAAUCCCCGGGCUCAAACUGGGAACUGCCAUUGUGACUGCAAGGCUGGAGUGCGGCAGAGGGGGAUGGAAUUCCGCGUGUAGCAGUGAAAUGCGUAGAUAUGCGGAGGAACACCGAUGGCGAAGGCAAUCCCCUGGGCCUGCACUGACGCUCAUGCACGAAAGCGUGGGGAGCAAACAGGAUUAGAUACCCUGGUAGUCCACGCCCUAAACGAUGUCAACUGGUUGUUGGGAAUUUAUUUUCUCAGUAACGAAGCUAACGCGUGAAGUUGACCGCCUGGGGAGUACGGCCGCAAGGUUAAAACUUAAAGGAAUUGACGGGG
rnacentral:rRNA from 1 species